rnacentral:rRNA from 1 species
UACAUGGGGUGCAAACGUUGCUCGGAAUUAUUGGGCGUAAAGCGCACGUAGGUGGUCUGUUAUGUCAGAUGUGAAAGCCCUCGGCUUAACUGAGGAAGUGCACCUGAAACUGGCAGGCUUGGAGUACGAAAGAGGGUCGCGGAAUUCCCGGUGUAGAGGUGAAAUUCGUAGAUAUCGGGAGGAACACCGGUGGCGAAGGCGGCGACCUGGGUAGAUACUGACGCUGAGGCGCGAAAGCGUGGGGAGCGAACGAGG